rnacentral:rRNA from 1 species
UACGAAGGGGGCUAGCGUUGUUCGGAAUUACUGGGCGUAAAGCGCGCGUAGGCGGUUUUUUAAGUCAGAGGUGAAAGCCCAGUGCUCAACACUGGAACUGCCUUUGAAACUGGAAAACUUGAAUCUUGGAGAGGUCAGUGGAAUUCCGAGUGUAGAGGUGAAAUUCGUAGAUAUUCGGAAGAACACCAGUGGCGAAGGCGACUGACUGGACAAGUAUUGACGCUGAGGUGCGAAAGCGUGGGGAGCAAACAGG